AUACGUAGGGGGCGAGCGUUGUCCGGAAUGAUUGGGCGUAAAGGGCGCGUAGGCGGCCCGGUAAGUCUGGAGUGAAAGUCCUGUUUUUAAGAUGGGAAUUGCUUUGGAUACUGUCGGGCUUGAGUGCAGGAGAGGUAAGUGGAAUUCCCAGUGUAGCGGUGAAAUGCGUAGAGAUUGGGAGGAACACCAGUGGCGAAGGCGAAUUCCUGGGCCGUAACUGGCGCUGAGGCGCGAAAUCGUGGGGAGAAAACAGGAUUAGAUACCCGGGUAGUCCACGCCGUAAACGAUGAAUACUAGGUGUAGGGGGUAUCGACUCCCUCUGUGCCGCAGGUAACACAAUAAGUAUUCCGCCUGGGGAGUACGGCCGCAAGGUUGAAACUCAAAGGAAUUGACGGGG
rnacentral:rRNA from 1 species